GUUCCGUGAAGCUGCUUGGGUACCACCAGUUAGGGGAAAGGAAGAGAAACAUGUCUUCUGUAGGGGAUAGUUGAAGUUAGAUUUCUUGAAGUACUGAUGAGAUUGGUGGCAUUUAGUUCUCCUGCUGCUUCUUAUCAGGUGCCCUUCAAGAGGCGUCCGCUGAGGAGAAAGAAAAAAAAAAUAGCUCUCCCAAGCCUCCGAGAAAUUUCCAUCAGAGAGGUUUAACAAAACAAACAAAUUUUCACAAACAUAAUAAAUAAACCAGAAAAUGGCGACAAUGAGGAUGAAGGAUUCCUCUUGUUUCGUUCAUCUGUUCCUGGGGAAGCUGGAAUGGUAACAUCAUCUACAAUUCCUAGAAGAAAAUUGGCUUCUUCUAGCAGGCAGGUUGAAAGUGUUCUUGCAGUUAAUUAUGGUGGGCUACAGCUAGAGGGAUGAGUCAGUGGAAUUUCUAGAGUGGUUGUGUUGCUGUUCUAUUUGAACUAGAGAUUUUCUGAGACCUGCAUACUUCUUAGUGAGGAGGAGCAGCAGAGGUGUCUGGAGGCAGCAGUCUCAGCCGAUGACAUUCUCAGACACAGUUCACUGCAGCAGAAGCCGAGUACACCUUUCAAUAUCGGUGACCAUCAACCACACAAAAAGAAAAGGAAGAAGAAAAAGACAGAGGAGAUACAGCUGAGGUAAAACCAGAGGGGCAGACAUUGCACAUAGAGCCUGGAAAGAAUGAGCUACAGGUGAAAAGAAAAAAGAAGAAACAUAAUGUAGAAAUGGCACAUUGCGAUGAACUGGUAAAAUGAGUAGUGGAAAAAUGAAACCUUACUACUACUCGCAAAGUCCAUUCAUUUGCCAAGGAGAUUACCUUCCUAAAACAGCUGCAUUCUUAGUAUUUUGUGAGUACAUGGCAAUUGGAUCAGAUGGUAUCCAGUCCGCAUCUGGCAGUGUAUCUUGCCCACACCUAUGGCAAAUGUUUGUGUCCUCUGCUCUGAGGCAGGUUGCUGUACUGGCGAGAUAAAAGUAAAGCAGUGGUACUUGUUGAUACCCAACUUCCAAGGUCGUUCAGGGAGAGAAGACAUUUGGCAAUUAAAUACACCACUGAACCCUUGACAUAUAAUGGGCAGUUGAUUACAGGUUUGUUUUGUCCAUUAUAUUCUGUCUCACUGUGAGGAAGAUGCCAUUUGGGUGGAUAUGAAACUGUCAAUAGUAUUGUGUGAAGGCGACAACAGGUGACUGUGGUUCUCUGGAGAACUUGAAUUGUGAUAGUGUACCAAGCUGGCGGAGGAUACUGUGGGAUAAAUAAAAAUAUAAUCAUAUCAUACGUCUUCAUAUUGUGUUUCUCACAAUAGUCUGUAUGGCAACUGAUUAAUAUCUCUGCUUUUUUUUAUAUAAGGGAUGAUUUUAGUCCCUGAAUUUAUUUUACCAUUUUAUCCUUUAAUGUAAAGAUAUCUGUGUAACUCUUUCAAUCCCAGCUACUGUUCACCUUAUCUGAUGGCAGCCAUAAGUUUACAAAUAUAUAUGUAAUGUCUUUGUAAAUGUUCUAAUAUGGUGAAAGAUAAAGUGAAAGAGGAUAUCUUACAGUAAAUGUUCUUGAAUUUCAAUCAGUACCUUAUUCAGCUCUAUCGUCUUGUUCUUUUAUGUUAAUUCCCGCCAUGCAUACGCAUUUGUAAGCAGGCUGGAUAUGGCCAUGCAAACUUUUUGAGAUAGGAAAGUGCAAUAGUUCAUCAUAUGACUUAUGUUAUGCAGAUUAUAUUUUAGAUACUGACAGGAGUGUGAUCUUUUGAAAAAAACAAAAAUCUUUUAUUGUUUUUUACCUUGUGAAAUAUUGCAUAUCCAGAGUUACAGAGCUAACACUUUUCUUUUCUGACAUUGUUACCUACAGCUUUCCAAAUUUAAAUACUAUCUGGUUUUCAUUGCCACUGACUGUUGCAGUCAGGUAGUGGUUUGAAUAACCAUUUACGUUUCCCUUCAAUUUCCUCAGUUCAAGUUAAAACAUUUUUUAAAAAUGUUGAUUUUUCAUAGUUAAAACAAUAGACAAAAAAGGAUGGUUUAUGCCUACUUAUAUUGCCAAUUAAAAAACCUGAAAAAUGCUUAUUGUCUAAGUAUUCUAUCUCUGUGUUGUAGAAGUUAUUAGUUUAAGAGCUGGCAUAACUAUGGAGCAGUCAUCCUACAAUUAGCCUCCAGGAUUAUUUAAAUAACUGCCAUGUUUUCUGAACAAAUACCCUACAGUUAACGUGAAUUAUACAUGUUUACUUGACUGUAUGGUCUGUACCCACAGGAUCUUGCUGAACUGCCAAACACAAGUGAGACGCUGAAUGUUGCACCCUUCCUGUGUUUGGUGAUUCAGCAAGGUGCUGUGGGUAUAGUUUUGCAUGGUGAACAUAUAAAGACUUUUGUUUUUUAUUUUAAAUAUACAGGCUUUUUAUAUUUACAUUCUGAGGACUGUAUUGCUAAUAAGAUGUCUGAGGAAGGGGCACGCCCCCGAAACGUUACAUCACUGACGCAAUAAACACGCAGGGGUUAACCACCGCUACACUAGCCAUCGAGUGUUGGUAUUUUUCCUGACUGUAUUGCUAAUAGCCAGUGACACUAUUGUGUACAGAUUCACAUGCAAGUUACUAACAACGGUUUAACUAUUUUAAUACUAUUGGUCAGGUUAAUUCACUGAUUUCAGUGCUUUUACCACAUAAUGGGUUCUUUUUUUCUCCUUGUAACCCUUUUAUGCAUCAGUGCUUUUUAAUAUAAUAUCUCCAAUAAAGAUCCCAAGUUUUGCUUUUU